AUUGGUUUACUAAUCUGUGAAUCUUUUUUCUCCCUUCCUCUACCAUCAAAGUAAGCAUCUAUGCUGAGACUUCCUCAGUUGUACAGAAUCCAGCAUACUUCUUAAGAUGUCUUCACAAGUAGGAGACAAGUAGGAGAAUCCUGAUUCAAUAGGCUUGAACAAGAUUUGUUAUGUCCCAUUUCUGGAGUUUGGUGGGUAGGCUGGGCUCCAGCAGAGAACCCUCAAGGCUGCAGCACCAUCCGUUGAGGCUCCUCCCUGCUGUUUCAGACUGACUCUCACCCUGUUACAAGGUGGUUGUCAAUAGCAACAGAGACAAAGGGCUCUUUAGUUGGAGCAGAGAAGGGGGGGGAUGGAAGAGGUUCUACUUACUCUACUGUGGAGGUCCUGGCAGCAGAAUGCUUUAUAGAAGAGAAGAACAGCUGCAACUGGCCCAUCUCAGGAUUAAAAAAAAACACACACACACAAAAAACAGCAAAUGUGAAAAGACACAGGAGAAGCCAAGAGAACCUUGAGGCAGAUGCGCUAAAGGCAGGGUAAGAAAGGAAGAUGUUGGAAAUUACCACCAGAAAACAAAAUUAUUUCCACUGACUCAUCCUGAGGAGAGCACAGAUCAUUCUCUGUGAUGACUCCUGCCUAACAUCCAUUCCCCCACCUUAUCCCUUAUUUACUUGUCACUGUGCUUUUGGUCAGUGGUUCUUAAACCUGGCUUACUUUAUAAUCAUCUGGGGAGAUUUAAAAACUGAUGGUUCAGCAAUAGCUUAGACCAAUGAAAUCACAGUAUCUGGGAUAGAAUUGAACUAUCUGUAUUUUAUAAUUCUCUUAAUCCCACAGAAGUCAAAUAAUAUAAACACUGCUCAGUUAUUGAGAACAGUUUCCAUUUAUUUCACCAAAAACACCAGGACAUUCCAUAUUGCUGCCUUUUGCUUUUGCCACCCAUUUUGCUUGGCAAAAUUCAGUUCAUCUUUCAACACCCAGAGUGUCUCUUCCUAUAAAAAGCCAUCUUAACUUCAGACCACCCUUCUUCAAAGAGGACAGACCACACUUCCCACUGCCUGUCAUACCUCUGUUGUAGCAGCAACAGAUGCUGCUAUGAUAUGUAGCAGCGUAUUAUUUCUCUGGCUUACUUCCCUGGCCCUCUCCUCCUACCACUCGCCAUCCUAAUCCUCUCCAGGGCAGGUAACAUACUUUACUCAAAAAACAGUAACAGGAACAGCACAGUUCCUGGCACAUAGUAGGGCCACGAUAAAUGUUUAUUGACUGAUGAAUGAUAAAUGAAUACAUGGUGGAAGAAUGAAUGAAUGAAUAAAUGAAUGAAACUUGCAGAAUGAAUAAAUGAA
rnacentral:lncRNA from 12 species